rnacentral:rRNA from 1 species
UAGGGAAUAUUGGGCAAUGGGCGAGAGCCUGACCCAGCCAUGCCGCGUGCAGGAUGAAGGCCUUCUGGGUUGUAAACUGCUUUUGAUCGGGAACAAAGAGGCCAUGCGUGGCAAGUCGAGUGUACCGAUAGAAUAAGCACCGGCUAACUCCGUGCCAGCAGCCGCGGUAAUACGGAGGGUGCAAGCGUUGUCCGGAUUUAUUGGGUUUAAAGGGUGCGUAGGCGGCUUUUUAAGUCAGUGGUGAAAUCCAGCAGCUUAACUGUUGAAUUGCCAUUGAUACUGGAGAGCUUGAGUACAGACGAGGUAGGCGGAAUUUAUGGUGUAGCGGUGAAAUGCACAGAUACCAUAAAGAACACCGAUUGCGAAGGCAGCUUACUAGGCUGUAACUGACGCUGAGGCACGAAAGUGUGGGGAUCAAA